rnacentral:lncRNA from 1 species
ACACACACACACACACACACACACACACACACACACACACACACACACACACACACACACACACUGUACAGACGAGCCCCUUUAACUUGUUAUUAAAUUAUUGAUUGUGUUUUUUUUGUUUUAUUUAUGUAUUUAUUGAUAAGCUCCUCCGCACGGCGGCCAUGUUGUGUUGUCUAUCGCCCCACGCUCCCAACAACAACAACUGUACUGGCCAGGGAUAUACCAUACACCAUCGCUCUGGCCCCAACGUACGUGUGUGUGUGUGUGUGUGUGUGUGUGUGUGUGUGUGUGUGUGUGUGUGUGUGUGUGUGUGUGUGUGUGUGUGUGUGUGUGUGUGUGUGUGUGUGUGUGUGUGUGUGUGUGUGUGUGUGUGUGUGUGUGUGUGUGUGUGUGUGUGUGUGUGUGUGUGUCUGUGUGUGUCUGUGUGUGUGUGUGUGUGUGUGUCUGUGUCUGUGUCUGUGUGUGUGUUAGCGUGUGUGUGUGUGUGUGUGUGUGUGUGUGUGUGUGUGUGUGUGUGUGUGUGUGUGUGUGUGUGUGUGUGUGUGUGUGUGUGUGUGUGUGUGUGUGUGUCUGUGUGUCUGUGUGUGUCUGUGUGUGUGUGUGUGUGUGUGUGUGUGUGUGUCUGUGUCUGUGUCUGUGUGUGUGUUAGCGUGUGUGUGUGUGUGUGUGUGUGUGUGUGUUGCUUAAUUUGAUCCCGUCACCUCUCCGUUUUGAACCGUUUUGUUUCCGGAAUCUAUUUGAUUGGAUCCAGAACCUCUCGUGACAUGAAAAAUAAUUUCCACUUCUUUGCAAUAAAAAAAUAAUAAUAAUAAUUAAAAGUUGUCUCUUCAUUACCUCUCCUGCCCCUAAAGAAAACCGUAAUGUGAAAAAGCUGAUUUUCAGUCCGCGGUUUAAUAUUCUCCGAGUUGAUUUGGGUUGAGACCGGACCAGGUUCUUACGUAACAUUUUAUAAUCUAUAUUUGAGACCGACGCGCGACGGUAAGUUAGAAGUGUAGAAAUGCGUCAUACUAGAACUAGAUUCUCUUCUCUAUGAAUCUAUGCUGUAAGCUGCCCCCCCCCCCCCCCCCCAAAAAAAAUUAUUGAAUCAACUUCUAAAUAUUGUUCUACAAAACAAAACAAAAAAUAGAGAGUCAGAGAUGGAGAUAAGGCUUAUGGAAGGAGCGCGGUCGUCGACAAUCACCAGCGAGUCACUUGUGUUUCAGUGAAACUGGAAAGCAUUUUGUGUUUUUGGUGGCGAUAAUUUCCUCGUAUUGUAGCCUAUAAUAUGUGUCUCCACACACCGAGGCCUCAGGUUAUUGAUGAAUUCAAAACAAGGCCGUUUUUUAAAAUAUAUUGAUCUCUAAUUCUCUAGUUUUGUCAGUGUCAAAGUAGACUGUCGUUUUUUUGAUCAUUUGGUAUUAAAGAAUAUUCUGACCAAAGUCUCCAGUCGUGUAAAAAAACGACGUAGAAUCGCAUUUAAUGCGUUUUUAAAGGGACAACAUUUCCCCCCGGACCCUAGGAUACUGAAAAUGUUCCCCGGACCCUAGGAUACUGAAAAUGUUCCCCGGACCCUAGGAUACUGAAAAUGUUCCCCGGACCCUAGGAUACUGAAAAUGUUCCCCGGACCCUAGGAUACUGAAAAUGUUCCCCGGACCCUAGGCUUCUGAAAAUGUCCCCCUGGACCCUAGACUACUGAAAAUGUUCCCUGGACCCUAGGAUACUGAAAAUGUUCCCAGGACCCUAGACUACUGAAAAUGUUCCCCGGACCCUAGGCUACUGAAAAUGUUCCCUGGACCCUAGGAUACUGAAAAUGUUCCCCGGACCCUAGGAUACUGAAAAUGUUCCCCGGACCCUAGGAUACUGAAAAUGUUCCCCGGACCCUAGGCUUCUGAAAAUGUCCCCCUGGACCCUAGACUACUGAAAAUGUUCCCUGGACCCUAGGAUACUGAAAAUGUUCCCAGGACCCUAGACUACUGAAAAUGUUCCCCGGACCCUAGGCUACUGAAAAUGUUCCCCGGACCCUAGACUACUGAAAAUGUUCCCAGGACCCUAGGCUACUGAAAAUGUCCCCAGACCCUAGGGUACUGAAAAUGUUCCCUGGACCCUAGGCUACUGAAAAUGUUCCCCUGGACCCUAGGCUAAUGAAAAUGUUCCCUGGACCCUAGGCUACUGAAAAUGUCCCCAGACCCUAGGGUACUGAAAAUGUUCCCUGGACCCUAGGCUACUGAAAAUGUUCCCCGAACCCUAGGCUACUGAAAAUGUUACCCGAACCCUAGGCUACUGAAAACGUUCCUCAUGUGUGCACCUUGUGUAGGUGCCUCUACUAUACGAUUUGAUUUGAUUUGAUAUACUGCUCUAUGCCGCUACGCUAAUGUGAGGAUAUGAAUGCUUUAUUAUAAAAUUAGAAUUUUCUUUUUUUCACCUCCCGAUUUACAAAUUAAGCACUGUGUGUGUGUGUGUGUGUGUGUGUGUGUGUGUGUGUGUGUGUGUGUGUUGUGUGUUGUGUGUUGUGUGUUGUGUGUUUUGUGUGUGUGUGUGUGUGUGUGUGUGUGUGUUAGUAUGGAUGAAAGGUAGAUGGUCCUUGAAGAUCUUUAGUGUUUAGGAACAACUUCAUGCUAUGAAAAAAAGGGUGAAAGGUUUGGGCGGAAUAGAAGCAUCGGUCGUCUAUUAUUUACGUUACUAUGACAACGGUGGACCGGACCGGGUCUGUCUAUGUACCCAUUUGUUUGAAUUACCACAGCUAGAACCCGUGGAACCGUCUAGACGUGCCACAGCUAGAACCCGUGGGAACCGUCUAGACGUGCCACAGCUAGAACCUGUGGGAACCGUCUAGACGUGCCACAGCUAGAACCCGUGGAACCGUCUAGACGUGACGCAGCUAGAACCCGUGGAACCGUCU